rnacentral:rRNA from 1 species
GAUCAUGGCUCAGGACGAACGCUGGCGGCGUGCCUAAUACAUGCAAGUAGAACGCUGAAGGAGGAGCUUGCUUCUCUGGAUGAGUUGCGAACGGGUGAGUAACGCGUAGGUAACCUGCCUGGUAGCGGGGGAUAACUAUUGGAAACGAUAGCUAAUACCGCAUAAUAGUAGAUGUUGCAUGACAUUUGCUUAAAAGGUAGGCAAUUGUCAUCACUACCACGAUGGACCGU